rnacentral:rRNA from 1 species
GGCGCACGGAUGAGUAACGCGUAUGUAAUCUGCCUGUAACAGAGGGAUAACCCGGAGAAAUCCGGCCUAAUACCUCAUAAUACAUAUUAUUCGCAUGAGUUUUAUGUUAAAGAAAUUCGGUUACAGAUGAACAUGCGUUCCAUUAGCUGGUUGGCGGGGUAACGGCCCACCAAGGCGACGAUGGAUAGGGGUUCUGAGAGGAAGGUCCCCCACACUGGUACUGAGACACGGACCAGACUCC